GCCGGAUGCAGGAGACGGGAAGAAACAAGCCGAUUAUGUUCGCUUUAAUUAAGUGGUUGGAAGAUGUAAAAUUCUCAAUUCUGCCAACUGAACAUAUACGAGAUUUUAAUGAAGAUGAAUAAUUAGCCGGCAUGGAGGAAACGGACCUUUAUUUGGUGGAGUGGCGACAAGAAGCCAAAAGGCGGGUGGCCGGUCUAUGAAGCCUCCAUCAUCAAGCUAGCAGAAAUCCCACCUGUCCUUCUGGCUACAGAGUACUUACCAAGCCCAUGAAAUUGAAUGCAGAUCUUCCUGAUGUGAGAUUUACAUAAAUAUGUCAAAGUCUCAACCUCAUGCUGCCCUCCCCCAUCCUCCUAAACCUGUGGAUACAAAUGCAGAUUUCCUUAAUGUGACCUGCUGCAGAAAACCCUCUCCCUCUAUCAUUAACAAGCAAUUCAGUCUGUCCUAUCACUCUCC
ensembl:lncRNA